rnacentral:rRNA from 1 species
GGAGGGUGCGAGCGUUGUUCGGAAUUAUUGGGCGUAAAGCGCGUGUAGGCGGCUUGGUAAGUCGGGUGUGAAAGCCCGGGGCUCAACCCCGGAACUGCACUCGAUACUGCCUCGCUAGAGUCCCGGAGAGGAGAGCGGAAUUCCCGGUGUAGAGGUGAAAUUCGUAGAUAUCGGGAGGAACACCAGCGGCGAAGGCGGCUCUCUGGACGGUGACUGACGCUGAGACGCGAAAGCGUGGGGAGCAAACAGGAUUAGAUACCCUGGUAGUCCACGCCGUAAACGUUGGGUGCUAGGUGUCGCGGGUAUUGACCCCCCUGCGGUGCCGUCGCUAACGCAUUUAGCACCCCGCCUGGGGAGUACGGUCGCAAGGCUA